rnacentral:lncRNA from 1 species
UUAAUUAUUAAGUUGCAAAGUCGAAAAAGUUGGUGCACUUUGGUGAAUCACAUGUCUAACACCUAACCUACUGACUUUCAUUACUAUUCUUUUCCUCCAAACCUUAUAAGGAGCUUGACGUCACGUAGCUUGUAGGCUGAGUCACUUAAUUUCGAUUACAUGAAUACAAGUCCUGAAUUGUCGUAUAAAGCUUCUUUUAAAAAGCUGGUCAAAAAUCUUGAUUUGGUCGAUCAUAAAUUUUAGGAUAUUAUCUGAAUGUGCUCAUGGAUCAACCUCAACACCACUUUCAAGUUGGCAUUGAUGUAUUCCUUAUUUCUCGAAACCUUGUACAUGGACUGAUUAUUAACCAAAGCUAAAAAAUAAUUUCAUAAGCAAGUAGAAGUGUAGAACAUAAAUAUUUGUAUCUCGCAUACAUUACAUUAAUUAAUUUUUAAUGUCAAGGAUAUCGAAAGUAAAUACUUUUAGAAGUAUAUAUGAUCUUAUUCUGUAAGACACAAAACUGACAUAAAAUACAGACAUAAAACUCCAUCAGAAGAACUGAACAAUACUAUGGAUGUGCGUUAGUAUUUCUAGGGAGGUAAAAAAGGAGGGAGGGAGGAAGAAAGAUAAGUUGUACUUGCACAUGUGGCUACAUAACAUGGAAAACAAAUAAGACAAAAUGAUACACUAAUCCACAAACAGCAAAAAUAUAAGUUCUGAAUAUACAGAAAAAUAAUGAUAAAUCUAAAAGUAAAAGAAGAAAAGGCAUUUACAAAUAUUCCAGAUGUUAUGCGUGUCAAGGAAAAAAGUAAAUGUAAGUAACAAUAAAAUAUGUCUAGAGGACUCAAAAUACAACCUGAAAAGGUUAUAACUUCAGUAAUUGAGAAGGAGAACUAUCAAAAGAGAGAUAUUGUACUUAUAAGGUAAGGUAGAGAAGGUUUCAGAGGAUGAUAACUUCAAUAAUUGAGAAAAUAUAAGGAAAACUAUCAAGAGAGAAGUGGUAUUCAUAAGAUGAGCUAGAUAAGUAUUUUACUCACGGAAGGUGAUCCCACUAAGUUCAAGUUAUAACAGUACACAUGCCAACUUUUUUGAGAAUGAUCAGUACACUUGCCAACUUUUAGUUUACUUUUAAUGAUUUUAAAUGGAGAAGAAAGAAGUAUUCAUACAUACAUUAUUCUAAACUCAAUCACUGAAAUAAACAAGUGGAUAUUUUUAGUUUUUAGCCAUAAAAAAAAGAACAUGGAGACAAUUAAUGAGUUGACUCUAAGUCAUAUGAACUUUGUAUUUAGGUCGUAUUCAACUGUAAAUUACCUUUUCUCUAAAUGUUUGAAAAUUUUGAGCUGAUUGUGUUCUUCUCCGCCAUAUGUGAUUUCUGUAAUUGAGAAUAGCAAAUCAUUAGACAUGUAGUUACAACUUGAACAUCAAUUAAAAAUGAAAUAACAAGUAAAUAGUCAAUUCAAUUUAAACCAAAGUGCUAUUGUAAUCAUUCGCGACAUUAUCUCUUCCUAGAUCUUUUUGCUAUAUUAAAAGAAUAACAAUCUUAACUCCAUAAAUUAUUAUUCUGUAUUUUUGUCGAAAAUCAUGAACUUGAAUUACAACUUGUUGUAGUACCAAAUAUCGCAACAUGUUAUUCUUUUGCAUAACUGAUUGUUCAAUUAUAACCAGUAUGAUUUGAAUAUAUUGUCAUAGACAAAUGUCAAUAGGUUAACCAUAUUUUUUAAAAAGAAAAGAGAGAACAAGGCAUAAAACCAUUUAUUUUACUUUUCAAUAUCUUAUGUGAGCAUUGGUUAUGUCGCCGAUAAGCUAAAUUAUAGUUGAAAUAUGACAGGCACAUCCUACAAGUUCAAAUAGGUAGACAUCGUACCACUGAAUCCAUGAUUUUUGUUUGGUAAGAAUGAAUACUCUGAGGUGUGAAUUGAAAAUAAGUACUCAUAUUGAAAUGCAGUAUGAAGUUCUUAAUUUAACAACAAUCGUGAUAGGUAAGGUAACUGAUCCAUAAUGACUUAUUCUUGCUAUUCACAUGGCAGCCACUGAAGCAGGCAAAUGGCGUAAAGAUAAACAACCCCCGCGCAGUCUCCUCAAAUUUUUUCAGUUAAACUAUAAAAAUGAUUCAUCAAAAACUAACCACUAAUUAUCACCUUUAUGAUCCUAAAAUCACAUACACUGCACUGACUAUGCAUUGAUAACCCACUAUGCAUAUUAUGGGAUUCCUAAAAAUAUUUUAAUAGUUAAAAUAAUAAAAUAAAAGAAUCAAAAGUACAAAAGCUACCAUUUCUAAUCAUGGGAUUAACCUUGAACCUCAUUCAAGAGGAGGUUGGAAGAAGAAUCAAAAUAGAAACAAUGAAAACACACGAAAAUUAGUGAGCGAAAGAACAGGACUAUAAGAGCAUAAAUGAGGAAUCAAUGUACAAUUUAGUCCGAUAAUGCAAACAAAAAUAUAAAAGAGGGUUAUAUAUCAAAAUUUUAAAUCAACAAUUAGUAAAUUUUCCAUGUUUUAAACCUUAAAAAAUUCAACGUUUCAAAGGGGUUAUACCUCAAAAUUAGCAGAGAAUCGACCUUCGACUGACCAACUAUCAUAAAUAAAAAAAGAAAAAAAUAACAUAUAAACCCUUCAAAAUAACAAUUGAAAGGGUAUACCUCAAUAUUUUCAUUCAGCAUUUCGAAAUCUCCAAGAAUACUCCAUCCUAGUAGACGAUUGCUGCUUCAAGAGUUCAUUAAGCAAGAAGCAGUAGACAAGUUUAUCCCAACUUGUGAAACACAUAAUUGUGUUCAAAGUCUGACUAGAGAUAAUAAAAAGCAAAAUUCCUAAAAGAAGAUUUGAAGUAUAAGAAAAGAUUAGUGAGAGAGGACUACUACUAAUGACAGACAAUUACGGCUUGAACUCGUAGCAAAUGGUAG